GGGUCCAUAGCUCAGUCGGUAGAGCAACUGACUUUUAAUCAGUAGGUCACUGGUUCGAACCCAGUUGGACUCACCA
rnacentral:tRNA from 5 species